UUCGGAGUUUCUUCCUUCUGGUGGUUCGUGGUCUCGCUGGCUUUAGAAGUGAAGCUGCAGACCUUCAGGAUGAGUGUUACAGCUCUUAAGGCUGCACGUCUGGAAUUGUUUGCUCCUCCUGUUGGGAUUUGUCCAUUCCUCCCGGUGGGUUUGUGGUCUCGUUGGCCUCAGGAGUGAAGCAGCAGACCUUUGCAGUGAGUGUUACAGCUCAUAAAAGCAGUGCAGACCCAAAGACUGAGCAGCAGCAAGAGUUAUUGCAAAAAGCGAGAGAACAAAGUUACCACAGUGCGGAAAUGGACCCCAGCAGGUUACCACUGCUGGCUCGCUUUUAUUCCUUUAUCUGACCCCAGCCACAUUCUGCUGAUUGAUCCAUUUACAGAGAGCUGAUUGGUGCAUUUACAAUCCUUUAGCUAGAUAUAAAAGCUCUCCAAGCCCCACCAGAUUAGCUAGAUAGAGUGCUGAUUGGUGCAUCCACAAACCUCCCCCGAGCUAGAUACCGAGUGCUGAGUGGUGCAUAUACAAUCCUCAGGCCAGAUAUAAAAGUUCUCCAAGUCCCCAUCCUACUCAGAGCCCCCAGCUGGCUUCGCCUAGUAGAUCCCGAGCCUGGGCCGCGGAGGGAGCUGCUCGCCAGUCCUGCGCCGCGCGGCUGCACUCCUCAGCCCUUGAGCGGUUGAUGAGACGCGGCACCAGGGAGCAGGAGAUGGCGCCCGUCAGGGAGGCUCCGGCCACGCAAGAGCCUACGGGGGAGGGGGCUCGGGCAUGGCGGUCUGCAGGUCCCGACCCCUGCCCUGCGGGGAGGCGGCUGAGGCCCUGCGAAUAUUCGAGCGCUGCGCAGGCGGGCCGGCACUGCUGUGGAACCUGGCGCACCCUCCGCAACUGCUGGCCCGGGUGCUAAGCCACUUACUGCCCGGGGCCCACGGCGCCAGCUGGCCACUGUGAGUCCUGGGCUCGCUGAGCCCGCGCCCUCCCGGAACUCGCGCUGUCCCGCAAGCGUCUUGCGCAGCCGCAGUUCCCGCCCGCGCUUCUCCCUCCACACCUCCUGGCAAGCAGAGGGAGCUGGCUCCAGCCUCAGCCAGCCCAGAGAGGGGCUCCCACAGUGCAGCUGCGGGCUUGAAGGGCCUCUCAAGUGCUGCCAGAGUGGGCCCCGAGGCCGAGGAGGUGCGGAGAGCGAGCCACGGCUGCCAGCAUGCUGUCACCUCUCAGUGGGUCCCAUUAUAAUCCUGGAGAAGCUCAGAGGUUAGAAGCCUGAAGUGCAAACUCUCAGGAAGGACCACAGGAAGACACAGCAAGAAGGCUGCCAUCUGCAAGCCAGGAAGAGAGCCAUCACCAGAGCCUAACCAUGCUAGUACUUUGAUCUGGAACUUCCAGCCUCCAGAACUAUGAACCAACCAAGUCUCACAGAGAUGAAGUGAUGGGCUCAAGAUCACACAGCAAGCCAGAAUAAAAUUCAGACAGACUCCAAGACCAAAGAUCUUCUCUCUUCUCCUGGACAGACAGUCAUCUAGCUCUUCCUUGAAUACCUCCAGUGAUGACAUUUCUUUCCAAGGUAGCUUGUUUCAGUGUUAAGUGAGAAACAGGUUCAAGUUGUGGUUUGUUUUUAUUUUGUGUUCAGCUGAAACAUGCCUCUGUAUUAUUUUUUUCAAUUGUCCCUUGCCCACUCCUAUAGUAUUUUAUUCUUCAUAACAGGAUUUCAUCAUCUUCUUUUGGUCUACCCUCUUUUAGGGUGAACCAUAUUCAAUGAGUAAUUCAUUGUCUGUAGAUUUGUUUCCACCUGUGAAGCCGCAGGACCUUGGUCCUCAUCCUCAAAUUGCCUUCGGUUCUAUCUGGAGGUCUGCAAAAGAAUUUUUAAGUUUUUAAGCAGUAUAACCAUGGGCCUCAGUUCUACUUGUAUUCGUAGUUGUCUACUUGUUUAUAUGUUAUCACUGCUCACCAUGAAAAGCCCAAAUUCAUUUCAAAAGUAUAUACCAGAUGCUACUGGGAUUUCUAGAGCUUACAACAAACAAACAAACAAAAUCAAGCAGUGCUAUGGGCAAUACCAAGAAAAGGUAAGGGUCAUCUUUCUCAGCUUUCUGCCUUAAAUUAUCUUCAGAUGCCAAAAGCUGCUCUCUAUCGUCUCAGAAAUUCCCCUCAAUAGUUUUAUGAGCUUCUUCCUCUUUUUCCUUAGUGGAUGUAUACUAAUACAUGGGACUGGUGGGGUAAAGAUGCUAUUAUAUCCUUCUCCUUUCUCCAGUUACCUCUUCCUUCUCUCACACACCUGCACCUGCCCCAAGGUUCUGCAUUCCCAUUUACAAACUAAAGCCCACAUUCUUAGGAAUGGAGUAAAUAUUAGAUUUGGGCAAGAUUGUGUUGGGGAUAGGUACUGCAGUCAAGUACAAGAGGUAGCUCUUGGCUACACUUGCAGAAAUUAGCUUAAAAUGCUCUUUUUCGUUAUUAGACAGUUUUCAGCUCAUUUGCCACCCCAGUAGCCUCUUGGCAUGUGUUUCUGUUUGUUAGUGCUCUUCUCAAAAUGGAGCACUUAUAAUUGAACCUAAUGUUCCAGAUGUGACCUGAUUAGGUCAGUGUACAAUAGGAUAGUUAAUGCCAUUCUUCAAAAUCAAAUCUAAUCCAAGUAGCUUCCUGCUGCUUACAGCCCUCAUCUGAUUGCCUUUCUUGGUAUUGACCAAUGGAGCUAAAUUUAUAUUGAUGGCCUCCCCAUGCCCCCGCCACCCCAUCAUCUCAAUUUCCUUUCAUUCAACUGAUGCGCCAACUUCUCAGGAUCCCUCACCAUUUCCCAGUCUUUUCUUUGCAUGCACAAUUCUCUUUUUCUAGAAUCUUCUUUUCCUCUUCUCCACCUGAAGAAAUGUUUCUAGUUCUCCAUUUCUCUUUUGUCUUAGACGGUCCUUCUCCUUCAGUCCCUUUUCAGUCUUACUUGUCACAUUUUAUUGUUACUAUCUUUAAAGCAUAUGCACCCCAACUGUAAGCACUUUCCAAUUACUGAUGGCAGAAAUCACGUAUGAUUCACUUUUGUUUCCCAGGCUUUUAUUUUCUUUCUAGCACAUUUGGAUGUUCAGAAUUUUUCACUUAGUUAAUAAAUUAUCUUGGAAUUAAGUUACAUUAUCUAUUUAGUUACAGUUGCUUUGUUUUUAAUAUUCUAUAAAAUACUAGAUGACUUGUUAGACAUAUUUUUAAAAUUAAAUUACUUAGCUUUUAAACUAUGUUAAUAAAAUACCUAUGUUAAUGUUGCUCCCAUGGCAACCCAUUGUGGCAGAAAUGGCUGGUUGUUCGUAUUUUCCUAGGAUUUUUUUGGGGAGAGAUGGGAGGAGAGAGCAUUCUAAUAAUCUGCCACUUGUACUAUACCUUAAAGUUAUAGAGUUUGAAACACACCUGGAGGUAAUCACCAUGAUCAUCUUUUUAAAGAUAAGAAAACUGUGGCUCAAAAAAUGUAUUGGAUUGCUGAAGUUUCCACAGCUAGUUGCUAUACUAUUAGGUUUGUGCAAAAGUAAUUGUGGUUCUAGACCAUGAAUUUUAAAUCAUUAUAACUAGGCUGAAACACUUCUUUAUUAAUCAAAAUAGGAACCAUCACAAUAAACACAUUAUUGCCGACAAGAAAUAAGUUUGUUUAUUCGUGUAGUGGAAAAAGUCAGUGCUUCAGGAUUCAACUCUGGAAAGCAUUCUCUGUAUCCUGCUGGUUGUGGAAGUGUUUUCCCUGCAAAACGUUGUGCAGGUGUUUGAAGUGGUAGUCGAUUGGUGAGAGGGCAGGUGAAUGACGCAGUGGAUGACGCAAAACUUCAUAGCCCAGUUUGUUCAAUUUUUGAAGUGUUGGUUGUGUGAUGUGUAGUCGGGCGUUGUCGUGGAGAAGAAUUGGGCCCUUUCUGUUGACCAUUGCUGGCUGCAGGUGGUGCAGUUUUUAGUGCAUCUCAUCAAUUUGGUGAGCAUACUUCUCAGAUGUAAUAGUUUCCUUGGGAUUCAGAAAGCUGUAGUGGAUCAGACUGGCAACAGACCACCAAACAGUGACCGUGACCCUUUUGUAGUUCAAGUUUGGCUUUGGGAAGUGCUUUUGAACUUCUCGGUCUAGACACUGAGCUGUUCAUCACUGUUUGUCGUAUAAAAUUCACUUUUCAUCACACAUCAUAGUCUGAUCGAGAAAUGGUUUGUUGUUAUUGUGUAAAAUAAGAGAAGAUGACAUUUCAAAACAAUGACUUUCUAAACUUUCCGCCCAGCUCAUGAGGCACCCACUUAUCAAGCUUUUUCACCUUUCCAGUUUGCUUCAAAUGCCAAACGACCAUAGAAUGGUUGGCAUUAAGUUCUUCAGGAAUUUCUUUUCUUUUCUUUUCUUUUUUUUGAGGUGAAGUCUUGCUCUAUUGCCCAGACUGGAGUGCAGUGGCGUGA